GCAUAAUUUUUAGUUUUGUAAAUAUGCAUUAAAGAUGACCUUUAAGCGAAAAUCUAAAAGGAAAGGGAGAAAAAAUGUUAAUUAUACUGAUAUGAGCUCCAAUUGUGAAAGUGAUGAUGAUUUUGAAGUUGAUUUUGAACCACAAACAAAGAAGGCGAUGCAUAAAGA